GAUUAUGGCUCAGGAUUAACGCUGGCGGCGUGCCUAAUACAUGCAAGUCGAAUGGUAGCAAUACCAUGGCGAACGGGUGAGUAACACGUAGGUAACCUGUCUUUAAGCCGAGGAUAACCAUUGGAAACGAUGGAUAAUACUGGAUAGGACAUUUGAAGGCAUCUUUUAAUGUUUAAAGAUUUAUCACUUAGAGAGGGGCCUGCGGCGCAUUAGCUAGUUGGUGAGGUGAAGGCUUACCAAGGCGAUGAUGCGUAGCCGGACUGAGAGGUUGAACGGCCACAAUGGAACUGAGAACGGUCCAUACUCCUACGGGAGGCAGCAGUAGGGAAUUUUCGGCAAUGGGCGGAAGCCUGAACCCGAGCAACGCCGCGUGAACGAAGAAGUAUUUCGGUAUGUAAAGUUCUUUUAUUAGGGACGAAAAGACAGAUUGACGGUACCUAAUGAAUAAGCUCCGGCUAACUACGUGCCAGCAGCGGC
rnacentral:rRNA from 1 species